AUUAAAUUCAGCUCCCCUUCUGUGCUGACAAGGGACUCAAGCAGCAUUAGAACUUCAUCCAGGUGAGAGAUCAUUGACUGUAUUGUGGCUUCUCGCCAGCCAAAUUCUAGGCUGGCAAAGUUCAGAUGAGGGAAGGCUACUGAUCUGGGCUGGUUUAGAGACAUAACACUACCUCCUGAAAUGUCAUCGUAAUGACAAAUAGGGAGACCUACAUGGUGACAAAGCUAAUGAAACCUGGCAAAGGAGUCAGUCAAGUGGCUUGAAAAGACAGAGGCAAGUGCACUACCUGGAUCUUCCUUUAAUCUUGCACCAUCUCACAUGUUUGGAAAUCGAUUAAAUCCCAACUCAGCAACAGCUACUCUUAUUGCACAGUCUGAAACAAAUCCACAAGGUAAGUUUGACUGAAGUUGAAAAGGGUGAAAAAUAAGUGGCAUUGCAUUUCUAGUUUUUCUUUGUUUUUGAGAUAUGGUACUUCCAAAUAGAAGUUGCAUACUGAUGAACUUAAUACUGCAGAAAUUUUAAAAAUAUACUUGUUGAAUGGCCAAUCUAUGUUUAUCAGUUUGUACUAAUUAAUUUUUGAAGAUCUCAGUAAUUCAGUUUAUUUGUUUCAAUCUGAAACAUGCUAGAGUGAGAAAUGGAUUUAUGGUGACAAGGGUACAGAAUUUGAGUCAAAUACGAUGGCUUAUGUUUUAACAAUGUUUAACUGGACUAAAAUUUGAUAUUUUGGACAAACCAUUCAUCAGCAUUGAGCCAGCUGAGCUGGAUGCAAUCACUGUGUCUAUGAAACCAACCCUUUCUUUGUUUGUCAUUCUGACUAUUAUGUGGAUGGAAAGAUAGUAUGAGGCAAAGAAAGAUCUUUAGUGGGGACUAGAGUUAACAAUGCAUCAAUAGAAGGAAGAAAUGUAAUUGCUGGAACUGCUAUGUUAUUCCAGAUUGGAUAUGCCAGAAUAGAACCAAGCAAAGGCAGUUCCACUAAGUUGGAGAACAGAGGCAAGGUAUUGGAAGAGACUGGUGUGGUUCACCAUGUCAGUAUAUUUAACAAUCAUAGAGAAUGUGACCUCAUUACAUGCAUUUGUGCUGCAAUGUGGUACGAACUGGAUUGGUGUUGAUGGAAGAAGGAAGGACAUAGAUUUAGGAAAAAAGUGCUUUGGAAGUUAGUGAUAGCAGAGCAGUUUGCAUUACUUUUCAGGUUCAAGGAAAAUUUUGCUUGAUUGUGGCUUGGAAGGGUAAAGGGCAAUGACAGGAAAGACAUAAUACUUACUUGGUGAUCAAUAAGUGAAAUUACCUGAUCAGAAGCUUAGUGGGAAUAAGGUCCAAGGAGUACAGAAUGAUUGUCAUAAACAAAGUGAAGUGAAAAGAACACGAAAGAAGAAUGAAAAAAUUUAAAGACACUUGGCAGGCCUGGUGUAAAACUGCAAGCUUUGCUUGUGAGAUGAUACACAGGUGGUUCUGUUAUAAUGUGCAUUUCAUCAACACAAAUUUGCUGUAAUGUGAUUGACGAACUGGGAAUGUGGUUUCUGCAGCGCAAACCUUUAAAAUGUGUGUUUUGGGUGUAAUGUGAUUACAUAACUAACACUUUAAGUGCUGUUUCUAAAGUGCAAUUAUUCUAUAACUCAGAUGCACAAGAACGCAACCAUUGCAUUAAAGAAGAACUGACUGUACAUGUAAAAAAACUGAACAAAUGUUUCAAACUUGCAACAAAAAAGCUGUAAACUCUUUAUACUUGUUUUUGAAGCGAGGACUGAGGGAACCUUACAAGAGGAGCUCAAGGAGAAAGUGUUCAUCCACCUUUUGGAGGAUUGUGCAGCAGUAUAUGCUUUAGCAGAGAAUGAUCCCAAUAGCAAUUUAAGUGAUUGAAUCAGAUUUGAUGAUUAAGUUCCAGAUUAUCUUAAAUCUGCAUUCCUUGGAAUUAAGAGUAUGAAGAUGGUUUAUAGGGAACAAGUGCCUCAAAGAUACAGGUAAGAGAAUGGCUGAUCAGCUAGACAGCUGCAGAAACCUAAAGGCUGAUGAUUUUGAAAGUACCAGUGCAAGUGACUUGGCAAGACGUGGAGCAAAAAGGGUGGGAAGUGGCAAGAGAAUUUGGUGAAUGAUGAAAUUAAAAGGUUGGAGAUUGCCUUAUCUACAUUCACGACUGAGUAGAGUUGUGACUAAAUGCCAAAAUCGAAGACAUGGUCACAGAUAUUGUUUUGAAAGUUUAUAGGAAUAUAGGAAUGGGAGGCCAUUCAUGCCCUCGAGCCUGAUCUGCCAUUCAAUGAAAUCGAGGCUGAUGUGUGGCCUAACUCUAAAUAUCUGUCUUUGGCCCAUAUCCUUUAAAAUCUUUGCUUAACAAAGAAUUAUCUAUCUUAGAUUUGAAAUUAAUAACUGAUUCAGCAUACACUGUCAUUUUCUGGAAAAGAGUUCCAAACAUCUGCCACCCUUUGUAUAUAGAACUGCUACCUUACAUCUCACCUUAACGGUCUAACCCUAAUUCUCAGACUUUGCCCCUUAAUUCUAGAAUCCCCAACUAGUGGAAACAGUUUAUCUGCCCUGUAUUUACCUGUUAAUAAAUUGACUUCGACCAGAUUACCCUUUAACCUUCUAAAUUCUAGAGAAAGCAGCUUAAUUUGUGUAAUCUGUUCGCAUAACUUAAUCUCUGAAUGCUUGGUAUCAUUGUUACAAACCUACGUGGUACUCCUUCCAAGGCCCGUACAUCCUUCCAAGACUGUGGUGCCCAGACCUGCUUUCAGUGCCCCAAGUGGAGUCUAGCUAGCAUUUUAUAUAACUGCAGCAUAACCUGUGCAUUCUUAUACUCCAGUCCUCUAGAUAUAAAAUACAGAAUUCCAUUAGCUUGCUUGAUUAUUUUCUGUACCCGUUUGUGACAUUUCAAAGAUCUACGCAUUUGAAUACCUCAGUUAUUUUGGACAUCCACUAUAUUUAACUUCAUACCGUGUUGAAGGAACCCAGACCUACCCCUUUUCAGUCCAAAAUGGGUGACCUCACAUUUGCUUACAUAACAGAAUCCCUACAGCACAGAAAGAGAUCAUUCAGCCUAUCAAGUCUGCACUUACCCUCCGAACAUCCCACCUAGACAAAAUAGCCAUAAAUUUGUAGUUUUUAUUUUAAAUGAUUUAUUUUGUGCAUAUAUGGUGACAGCAAUAUGUAAGUCUACGUAUUUUUCACAGAAUGGUAAGGGGCAGCACAGACAGCGAACUUUGCCUUAAUCAACAGGGAGUAAAGUGUCAGAAAGUAGAGAAGUAGUGAUCAUUUAGGUCGGGCAUUGAAAGUGAAUGCGUGCUGGAGAGAGAGAGAAAUGAUGGAUGAAAUGAAUGGGGGAUGGGAAAAGCGUGUUCCAAUAGUCUGAAAGCAACAAAGGAGAUGAGGCUUGAGUUUGGAGCAGUACCCAUUGCUGAGGGAUGUCUGGUUACAAUAGUAAUACAGGUGUUAGGAGUUAUCUCUGUGGUCUUCAGUAGUGCAAAAGGAAGAAUUGUUAUGAAAGAGUUGAUGUCUGGUGGGAUAAAAUUGCUAUGAGUUAACAUGGCACAUAAAUGACCAGCACCCAAGUUCAGACAUUUGUGUCCUGAGACAUUUGAUUCAAGGACAACAUCUCCCCACACCAUCAUGGCACCUUUGUUGCAAUCGCAGAAGAUGUAAUGUCUACCUGUUUACUUUCUCCCUCCUCACUGUCCAAGGCCUCAGACACACUUUACCCAUUC